rnacentral:rRNA from 1 species
GUGCAGCAGGCGCGAAACCUUUACACUGCACGAAAGUGCGAUAAGGCCAUACCGAGUGCCAUCCGCUGAGGGUGGCUUUUCUCAGGUCUAAACAGCCUGAGGAAUAAGGGGAGGGCAAGUCUGGUGUCAGCCGCCGCGGUAAUACCAGCUCCCCGAGUGGUCAGGACGAUUAUUUGGCCUAAAGCAUCCGUAGCCGGCUUCGUGGGUCUCUUGUAAAAUCCAACGGCUCAACCGUUGGACUGCAGGGGAUACCGCGGGGCUAGGGGGCGGGAGAGGCGGACGGUACUCCAUAGGUAGGGGUAAAAUCCUUUGAUCUAUGGAAGACCACCAGUGGCGAAGGCGGUCCGCUAGAACGCGCCCGACGGUGAGGGAUGAAAGCUGGGGGAGCGAACCGGAUUAGAUACCCCGGGUAGUCC